rnacentral:rRNA from 1 species
AACGUAGGACACAAGCGUUAUCCGGAGUUACUGGGCGUAAAGGGCGUGCAGGCGGUCUGCUAAGUGAGGCGUGAAAGCCCCUGGCUAAACUGGGGGUAGUCGUUUGAGACUGGCAGACUAGAGGGUGGUAGAGGCGUGUAGAAUUCCGGGUGUAGUGGUGAAAUGCGUAGAGAUCCGGAGGAAUACCAGUGGCGAAGGCGGCACGCUGGGCCAUUACUGACGCUAAGACGCGAAAGCAUGGGUAGCGAACGGG